rnacentral:rRNA from 1 species
AUAUAGUCUGGUCCGUAAGCAAAUCGACUGCCUGCCUGUGUAACAGGCAGGUAAGCUUUUGUCGCGGGGUCCCGGAUCAACCCGGGCUAGAUAGCCACUUAACUAUAUACUUUUUAUAAAAUCUGUGAACUUACUAGGUUGGAUUCUCGCCAGAGAUAGUCUGGUUUCUGCUUCGCGGAUCGCCUACCCGUGACACCUGUCACAGGCAGGUAUGCUUCUGCCGCGGGUCCGUAAGUAAAUCAUCUGUUUCGCAAGGGACGGCGAUUUACCUGUGGAAGAGGUCCGCUAACUAUAUUCUUAGUAUAGUUUGUUCACUAGAUCAAACAUUCUGAAUAAAAACUUAAACUAGUUAAAACUUUCAACAACGGAUCUCUUGGUUCUGGCAUCGAUGAAGAACGCAGCGAAAUGCGAUAAGUAAUGUGAAUUGCAGAAUUCAGUGAAUCAUCGAAUCUUUGAACGCACAUUGCGCCCAUUAGUAUUCUAGUGGGCAUGCCUGUUCGAGCGUCAUUUCAACCCUUAAGCCCCUGUUGCUUAGCGUUGGGAGCCUACAGCCUGCUGUAGCUCCUUAAAGGUAGUGGCGGAGUCGGUUCACACUCUAGACGUAGUAAAAUCUUUAUCUCGCCUAUGGAUGAGCCGGCGCCUUGCCGUAAAACCCCUAAUCUUUCACAAGGUUGACCUCGGAUCAGGUAGGAAUACCCGCUGAACUUAAGCAUAUCAAUAAGCGGAGGAAAAGAAACCAACAGGGAUUGCCCUAGUAACGGCGAGUGAAGCGGCAACAGCUCAAAUUUGAAAUCUGGCCUUCGGGUCCGAGUUGUAAUUUGCAGAGGAUGCUUUGGGCGCGGUGCCUUCCGAGUUCCCUGGAACGGGACGCCUUAGAGGGUGAGAGCCCCGUACGGUUGGACACCAAGCCUCUGUAAAGCUCCUUCGACGAGUCGAGUAGUUUGGGAAUGCUGCUCUAAAUGGGAGGUAAAUUUCUUCUAAAGCUAAAUAUUGGCCAGAGACCGAUAGCGCACAAGUAGAGUGAUCGAAAGAUGAAAAGCACUUUGAAAAGAGGGUUAAAUAGCACGUGAAAUUGUUGAAAGGGAAGCGUUUGCGACCAGACCUUUUCCCAGCGGAUCAUCCGGUGUUCUCACCGGUGCACUUCGCUGGGUUGAGGCCAGCAUCGGUUUCCGCAGGGGGAUAAAAGCCUGGGGAACGUAGCUCCCUCGGGAGUGUUAUAGCCCCUCGCAUAAUACCCUUGCGGGGACCGAGGACCGCGCU